rnacentral:snRNA from 1 species
GGGUGUGAGGGCGACCAGCUGUGACAUCUGUCACCCCAGGGUUGAUUCCACUGAUCUGUCUGGCUAGGCAGGUGUCCUCUUCCUCCUUCGGCACACCAUGUGAGUCCCUCCCUAAGCUCCCCUGUGGGGCUCGGCUGGAGAGAGUGACCUUCCACAUCAGGAGCACUGCCCUUGCCCUUCUGUCAAAGGUAUGCGAGUAGCUAUGCUCACCUGCUAGAAUGUCCAAACAACCUCUGUAGCUCCAAAAAUGAGGAAGAGUUUGAGACUUUCCCUAUAAACAAAAACAGAGACUUU